rnacentral:lncRNA from 1 species
CUCACAGAGCUUUCAGAGGCACUUCUUGUUGCCCAGUUUUGAGCACUUGGGAUUUUAAUUUCUUUCCAUGUUUCCAGGAGGCUGAACACAGGAAGGGAAAUUGGACUCCCAGCCCUUUGUGAGAAGGGUUGGGUUCUCCUCCAGCCUCAGUUUGCAGAACACUGAUGGAACCCAGCACAGCUAUGAGGAACCUGGAGAAAUGGUUGUCUUGGACUGUGGAUGCCCCCAGCGAGUUUUGUGAAACACAUCAGAUCAUCAGGAGUUCUGCUUCCCCAAGCCGUGGAAAAUCCAAAACCUGGUGAAAUGUUCCAGCAGACCAAGAGUUUCACCCCAGGUGGGUCCAGCACGGGAGCCACGUUCACCUCAAGGCUCAAUUCUACACAAGGAUUGUUCUUCCAACUCUUCGCUGUGUGCUGGCAAAAUUCCAAGUCAAAAAGUCAUGGAAUGUGUACAGAAUGUUUAGGGACUUUGUAUUCCCUGGUUCCAGAGUUUUUCAGGAUCAAAGCAGCUGCUGGUUGCUCAGAGCAAAGGCUGUUGUUGUUGUUCUUGAUUUGUCACUUCCCAUCUUGGGAACACUUUAAUUCUCCAAACCUAAAGGAACUCAGCUAAAUCAAAUUAAUAGUGGACUUUUAAUACAUUUAAAUGAAAUGGAAGACAAAUUUCUUCAGUGCAGAGAAGAAUCAAACAACUUUCUCUUCAUAGCAUUAGGAACAAUACUUUAAGUUCCUUUUCUGUCAGCUGCCUUUUAAUUAGCAGCACUUCAGCACAGUUCUGACAUGUCAAACCCACCUGGGAUUGUUCUUCAUCUCAAAAAAUGGGUGCUGCAUUUUUCCUGCUCCAGCUGCAACUUUAACUGCUGUAAUCACUUGAUGAGUAACCUCGAUAUUGGGAGUGACAGAGGCCUUUAAUGGUUUAAUAACUCAGAGGAGCCCUGGCUUUUGAGUGAAGUUCAGAAAUGUGCUUUAGAGUUGGAGAGGUUCUCUCCAGAUGAAUACAGGCCAUGGCCUUGAAGGAUGAGGAAAAGCAGCUUAAACAGGGGGACUCUCUGGAGAAAUAAAAUUUGGCUUGGGAUUGUUUAUGUUAGCA